rnacentral:rRNA from 1 species
AUGGUUAAGUUAGAAAGGGCGCACGGUGAAUGCCUUGGCACUAGGAGCCGAUGAAGGACGGGACUAACACCGAUAUGCUUCGGGGAGCUGUAAGUGAGCUUUGAUCCGGAGAUUUCCGAAUGGGGAAACCCACUGUUCGUAAUGGAACAGUAUCUUUAUCUGAAUACAUAGGAUAUUGAAGGCAGACCCGGGGAACUGAAACAUCUAAGUACCCGGAGGAAGAGAAAGCAAAUGCGAUUUCCUGAGUAGCGGCGAGCGAAACGGAAUUAGCCCAAACCAAGAGGCUUGCCUCUUGGGGUUGUAGGACACUCUAUACGGAGUUACAAAGGAACGAAGUAAAUGAAGCGACCUGGAAAGGUCCGUCGAAGAAGGUAACAACCCUGUAGUUGAAACUUCGUUCCCUCUUGAGUGGAUCCUGAGUACGGCGGAACACGUGAAAUUCCGUCGGAAGCUGGGAGGACCAUCUCCCAAGGCUAAAUACUACCUAGUGACCGAUAGUGAACCAGUACCGUGAGGGAAAGGUGAAAAGCACCCCGGAAGGGGAGUGAAAGAGAUCCUGAAACCGUGUGCCUACAAGUAGUCAGAGCCCGUUAACGGGUGAUGGCGUGCCUUUUGUAGAAUGAACCGGCGAGUUACGAUCCCAUGCAAGGUUAAGCUGAUAAGGCGGAGCCGUAGCGAAAGCGAGUCUGAAUAGGGCGUUUAGUAUGUGGUUGUAGACCCGAAACCAGGUGAUCUACCCAUGUCCAGGGUGAAGUUCAGGUAACACUGAAUGGAGGCCCGAACCCACGCACGUUGAAAAGUGCGGGGAUGAGGUGUGGGUAGCGGAGAAAUUCCAAUCGAACCUGGAGAUAGCUGGUUCUCUCCGAAAUAGCUUUAGGGCUAGCCUCAUGUUGUGAGAGUCUUGGAGGUAGAGCACUGAUUGGACUAGGGGCCCCCAACGGGUUACCGAAUUCAGUCAAACUCCGAAUGCCAAAGACUUAUCCAUGGGAGUCAGACUGCGAGUGAUAAGAUCCGUAGUCAAAAGGGAAACAGCCCAGACCACCAGCUAAGGUCCCCAAGUAUACGUUAAGUGGAAAAGGAUGUGGAGUUGCUUAGACAACCAGGAUGUUGGCUUAGAAGCAGCCACCAUUUAAAGAGUGCGUAAUAGCUCACUGGUCGAGUGACUCUGCGCCGAAAAUGUACCGGGGCUAAACGUAUCACCGAAGCUGUGGAUUGACAUCUAAGAUGUCAGUGGUAGGAGAGCGUUCUAAGUGCAGUGAAGUCAGACCGUAAGGACUGGUGGAGCGCUUAGAAGUGAGAAUGCCGGUAUGAGUAGCGAAAGACAAGUGAGAAUCUUGUCCACCGAAUGCCUAAGGUUUCCUGAGGAAGGCUCGUCCGCUCAGGGUUAGUCGGGACCUAAGCCGAGGCUGAAAAGCGUAGGCGAUGGCCAACAGGUUGAUAUUCCUGUACC